rnacentral:lncRNA from 1 species
GACCACUUCAGCCAGACCGAGCAGCAGAAGUGCGCCGCCAGGUCAGCCCCGCCGCGUCCCUCUUUCCGUGGCUCCCUUUUCCCUCUCGUUCUCUGAUCUCUCUCUCGUCAAGAAGGAGAAGCAUCCAUGGCGUGUGUAGCUUUAAGGCAAACAAGUGGGGAUGACGGGACCCGACGCCAACACCCCGUCCUCGCCUGGUUCCUGCGAAAACCGAGCCCCGACGAGCUCCUCGUCCCAGAUCCGGCCCUCCCCAACCUCUCCAUCCCCAGCUGCGUCCGUGCCGAGGCGUUGACCUGCUUCCCGUCCAUAGCCAGCCUCAUCUGCUUCUCAGGUUCAGAUUCAGCGUUUUUAAUCUCGUUCAGAUCCGCGUAAGUACUAAUUCACCUUGCGAAAUCCUUUGUUUGUAGCACAAACACGCAGCAGUCCAACUGGUCAGCUCGUUGGUCUGCAUCGAGGAGGUCGUGGGUUCAAAUCCCCCCAACUCCACAUUUAUUUUGUUUUCUGCAAAUAUUGUCUCUCGGGAAUGAGAUCCUCGUGUUGCUUCAUUUAUGCUAGAGGCCCAAUUAUUUUCACGUGUAGUAGCCUGCCCAGUUGGUUAGCGUCAAUGCUUUGCACCUGAGGUCCUGGGAUCGAAUCCUAGGGAGCCUCUUUAUUUUUUUUCCUGUGUGUUCUUUUUCAAUCAUGCUCACAGAGACGUCUCGGGCUGAUUCCAGCCCCGCGCCCGGUGCACUUUGGUUCAAUUCGGGCCAUGUAGAUUUUUUUUCCUUCUGCGAUGUAUUGUUUAAUCUACCGAUUUACCGUUUUCAAGCAUAUUUUAAAAUUGGUUUUAACUUUUAAACCGUGCAUCGGAUCGGAAUAAUUUUUAUAUGAAACUUGACUAGAAUUUCAUGUAGAUUAAUAAUUUCCAACUUUCAUGCAUGAUAAAAAUACUUAAACAUGAUGUUUGCAUCGGUUUGCGUGUUGACGUGAUAGAAACGGUUUAGCCCAUAGUUAUUUAACCGUAGCUCCUUUGGAGAUGUGCCAUAUAGGAAAAUGGAGCAGAACGACGAGUAGAAUCAUGUGAACCACUUUGUUUUGGCGUUUAACAAACCUAAAUUGUGAUUAGGACAAAUCUGGACAGAAUUAAGAUGUAACACGUGGGGUCAUUUCAGAGAUGUUAUAUGACAUUUCCGGUCUCAUUUAAAAUGCCUAGCUAGGUAGAUUAAUUUAUGCUUCACCCCGUGUCAUGUUUGACAACAUUAAAAUUGCCGUGUAAAUAACCGGGAGUGAACUAAGUAAUUAAUAUGUGGAGUUUCAUCAAUAUGCAACUCGUUGCACAUUGAGCUUCACAUAAUGUGUAGUGUUUGAUUGUUGUGAUUGGCAUGCCUGGCAUUAGACCGUUCAUGCAUCAUAUGUGUCUUGCAUCGUGUGGUGAUUCUCGUGUGGUGAUGCUUGUUUCCGGUUUGCUUCAUCUCGAUAGAGUUCCGCAAGCGUGUCGGAUUGUGAGGACCCGUUCGACUACAUCGGUUCGUCUGCUUCAUGGAGUCAUUCUUCUUCCAAGCGGGAUCUCAGGCAAGAUGAUCAUUUCCCCAGAUACCAUUACUAUCAUUGCCAUGCUAGUUUUAUCGCUUCUAUCGAUUAUGUCUUGUUGCCUACCACAUGUUAAAUAUCAGCCUCUCAACAAUACCAUGAUAACCUUCAACCUGUUCGACCUAGCAAACCAAUGAUUGGCUAUGUUACUGCUUGAUUAUCCAUGUUGUUAGCGUUGCUAGUUGCAGGUGUAGUUGCUUCCAUGUGAUAACAUGCGUUCCUUUUCAUACCACCAUAUUCAAUGCUAUUUAAUUUAAUGCACCUAUAUACUUGGUAAAAGGUGGAAGGCUCGGUCUUUCUAGCCUGGUGUUUUGUUGCACCUUUGCCCCCUUAGUUUCGGCUACCGGUGUUAUGUUCCAUAAACGAGAGCUCCUAACAUGAUCGGGGUUGUUAUGGGGACCCCUUGAUAAUUCGUUUUAGAUUAAAGCUGGUCUGGCAAGGCCCAACAUUGGUACUACAUUUGCCCAACAUAAUGACUUUGUUAAUACUGAAAGCACAGGGCGUCAUGAACCCGAGGAGUAAUUUCACAUAAUACAGGGAGGGCCGGUGCUGAUGGUGCUGGUCCAAAACGGAGCACCGUGCGGGGCCACCGCGAGGAAACUCGAGGUUUGGCACUCAUACGCUUCGUGUUCAUCUUUAUUUAGUCUUGUCAUCCUUACCGGUGAAUUCAAUUUAGUUGUCGGUGUCAUCUUAUCCAUUCAUCCUUGUAAUUCUUUCCUAUAUUGGAAAUUGUUAUGAGCCUAUCUUGUUGCUAAUUCCUCUCUCUUUCUAUCCGGAGUGUCAAGAUAUUUCAGAAGUUUUUGUUUCCAAUCUUUUCAAUUAUUUCGAGCUGCUAACCUCAUCUAGUUCUCUUCAUACCGGUGCAUUAUCUCUCUUCUAAGCAAUCUUUUCAAUGGUGGUUUCUUUGAGUGGGCCCAUAACCCACAGGUUCUUUCCCAGGAUCUGUCCUGGCUCUUUUAAAAAAAUUCCCGAAGUUCUCUAAUUAUUUCAACUAUGACAUAAGUAUGAAUUUCAUCAGUCAUAUCCCUUCUCCAAGGCCUAUUCGAAUUAAUUCUCAUAUUUGGCUCAAUCUUGCAUUCUCUUAUUCCGGAGUGCCCUAGUUAAUUCUUGGUGGUGUUCUUCUCAUCAUCCUCUUCUUUCAAGUCCGAAGAAGUGUUUCUCUCGAAUCUUGGUUCAUUCUCUUGGAAAUUCAUCAUUUCAGCUUGGUGUCGUCAUCUUAUUUGCUCCAAUCAUGGGUAAUCCCUUUCUGCUAUUCGGUGCACUUCUGAGUUGUUUUCAUUCUCGAUCCUCCGAAGGCCAUCAUUUCAGAAGACUUCUUCGUUCUCAGGUUUCAGCUUUCAUCCGCAAUUCUUCUCAAUUGUUGUCUCUUCGUUCGUCUCUCGAUUAUCCGGUGCCUUGUUCAAGUUUUCUCUCAGGUGGCUCAUGAUCUCUUCAUUCUCAGGUGUUUCCAUGCAUUCUUGGAAUUCCCAUUCAAUUGGGAAUUCUUUCCGGUGCUUCCUUCAAUUAUGCCUCAAGUGGCGCUUAUCUCUCUGUGCAUCUUCAAGAUUCAUUUCUAGUAGAAUAAGUCGUAUGCUAGAUCCGUUGCUUGUCAUCAAUUUAAUUUGAUGAAGGAUGAGCAUAACAUAAUUCUUAUUAUUGUCCUUCCUUCUUCCAAGAGAUUUCAAUUCUUCUUCCGGAGGGCCCAUGAUAUCAAUUCUUUUCUCAAGUGCCUAUCUUUUCUUUUCCGGAGUUCCAAGUUCUUUUAAGUAUCUCUUUGUGAGGCUUCAUCUAAAUAUUGGUAAGGUCAUAAUCUUAUUCUUUUCUACCUUCAUAUUGUUGCAUCAUUCAUUUGUAUACGAAGGUCCUUCAUGGUGGUUCAUCAAGGUUUCAAUUCAUUCUCAAGUGUUCUUCAAGAAUCUUAUUGGAGAACCUCAAGUUUUUCUUCUCUUGCAUUUCCAAGUGCAUUUGUUCUUCCUUUUCCUUUGAGGUGGUAUUAUAGCAUUCUUGUUAGUGUAGGAGCCUCGAAGAGUUUUCCUUUCAAGUAUGAGAUAAUUAAACCCACCAAUUCUUUGAUCAUGAAAUAUUUUCAACCCAUGAUUUCUUCAUUUGAGCUAUCUUGGUUUGGAUUUCACCUAUAGCUUUUCCUAUGGAUUGUUGCUAUCAUGGUGUUUGUCAUUAAUCCCAGUUCUCAAUGUACCCUCUUGGUGUAAGAAGUGUCCAUUUCUUGUUGCUCCCAAGCUAUCCUUGUUCCUUUAGCGGUUGGUUGUCACUUCGUAUUGUUGAGAUGAUUUUCAUAAGCCCACUACUAUCUUGUUCCUUUGGUUGUUGGGUUUCCAAUUGCUACGUCAAUUCUCAGUCCGGAGGAUCUUCAAUUCUAUUGUGAUGAUAGUUGUCAUUCUUUUCUUCAUUCUCUUCUUCCGUAUGAGCUAGUUAAUAUUCUCUUGUUCCGGAGGCAUUGUGACGUUGCUCUUUGGGUCAAUCAUGUUAUCCUAUCAAGGUCAUGUUGUUCCCUUGUUCUAUUUACUUGUUUGUUGUGAAUAUUGUCUAUUUCUACCUUCUUAUCGAAUUUUUUGUCCCAUUUUCCUACCGAAGUGCUGCCGAAAUUUUCCGUGAAUUCUUGCUUCUUUCCCAUGUCAUUCCUCAUCUCCUUGCAACCUUCAAGGAUCGUUGGUUUCACUCGUUUGUCAAGAAGCGACUAAAUUUUUACCUCUUGCUUUCUCAUCCUCUCCCCCUUUCUUGGAUCUCGGGGCGAGAUCCUCUUGUAGUGUAGGAGAGUUGUGACACCCGAUGCCGACGUUCCAGAAGAUUCUCCUUUCUUUCUGUUUUCGCCGUGUGUCUAUUUUUCUUUUGUCGCAUCAUCAUCGCAUCAUGCGCAUCAUCUGCAUUGCAUCGGCAUCUCCGUUGCCGCCAGUUUUCAAAACUUGCAUCCGUUGUUAGUUGCCGGUUCUCGUCGUUGUCCGUUCUGAGCCCGACCGCACACGCACGCACCCGCGGCAUCGUCGAACCCAGUUUUAAAAGUGUGCGAAAACCUUCUCUGAUUGGCUUGCUAUUCGACGUGCGGUCGUAUUUUAAUAUAGCUAGACCGCCUGUCGAAUUUCGUCGCGAUCGGAGUCCGUCUGGUACGCGAACGGUCGACCGUAGCGGCACCGUAUUCGGACUACCGUCGGAAGGUUGUCGGUGUUUUUAAAAUACGUUGCCGCGUCGCCCGUUUUCCCUCUCAUCCCUGCCUAGCCCCUCUGCGCAGUGCACCGACCUGUCCGCAACCUAGUCCGGAACCUUCCCCGGAUCCGAACCGGGCGGUCGUGACCGUUGGAUCCGGAUCAACCCCGUUUUACCGCAAAACGUCAUCGGUUUGUCCAUUGGGCUUCCUAGCCUAUUUAUUUCGUCCGUCCGAUUUAAUCGGAGGGUCUUGGCAACCCCUACCACAAAUCCGCUUAUUGUAAUUAUGUCCAUUCUAGCCUAACCCUAGCCUACCCCUAUCCAAUCCCUCAUCCCGCUGCCACCUGCUUGCCUUGGAAUCCCCAGCUACCCAACCAGCCUCCUCCUCCAUCGGGUUCCUCCCUGAUUCCAAAACAAAUCCAUCCAUCCAUCCAGAACCGCCGCCUCCCUCGAUCCGCCUGCGUGCACCAGCCCCAGCGACCGUGAGGCCACCAGCAGAGGAGCCAUGGGCGCCGUCAAGCUCCACCUGCUCCAUGGACCAGCAGGUCCCCUGUUGCAGCCCCGCCAUGGUCUUCUCGGAGCUCACUGCAGUGGCCCGCACCGACAGCAGUAGCAGCCAGCCGCGCCGUGACCUUCGACCACUUCAGCCAAACCGCGAAGCAGAAGUGCGCCGCCAGGUCAGCCCCGCCGCGUCCCUCUUUCCGUGGCUCCCUUUUCCCUCUCGUUCUCUGAUCUCUCUCUCGUCGGGAAGGAGCAGCAUCCAUGGCGUGUGUAGCUUCAAGGAAAACAAGUGGGGAUGACGGGACCCGACGGCAGCACCCCGUCCUCGCCUGGUUCCUGCGAAAACCGAGCCCCGACGAGCUCCUCGUCCCAGAUCCGGCCCUCCCCAACCUCUCCAUCGCCAG